UUAAGAGUAGGCUAAUUAAAAGCUUUGAGAUUCAUGAUCUUAAGAUGAAUAUUUUCCUCUUAAA
rnacentral:tRNA from 1 species